UGGAUCUCACAGCUGGCCGGGAGCAGCCCAACUUAGGGCAGUGCUGCAUUGCAACAAGCUCAACUGCUCACCAGGAACCUCAACGCUGCCACGUCGAGGGACAAGAAGCAACAUGCAGCGUCCUGCAGAAACUCCAAUGGGAAGCAUUGCAGAGAACCUUCUUAAAGCCCAAGAAAUAGCCCUCAAUGAUUCUCAUGUACCUGAACAACUCAAGAAUUACUUACAGAAAGCUCUUGUUGUUGCCCUUGGACUGGACCCUUAUCUGAUUGCAAUGGCAACUUCAAAGAGAAAAGUGUCACCUGCUCAUGGCUCAGGGGAUGCUGGAGGAACCAAAGCCAGAGUUAAGCCACUCCAAGAGGACACUUCUGGGUGUUU
rnacentral:lncRNA from 1 species